UACGGGGGGGUGCGAGCGUUGUCCGGAAUCACUGGGCGUAAAGGGCGCGUAGGUGGUCUUAUAAGGGUGUGGUGAAAGCCCGGGGCUCAACCCCCGGGUCGGCCGUGCCGACUGUAAGACUAGAGUGCUGUAGGGGCAGGCGGAAUUCCGGGUGUAGCGGUGGAAUGCGUAGAGAUCCGGAGGAACACCGGUGGCGAAGGCGGCUUCCUGGACCGACACUGACGCUGAGGCGCGAAAGCUAGGGGAGCAAACGGG
rnacentral:rRNA from 1 species